GCCAGGCAUGGUGGCACAUGCCUGUAAUCCCAGCUACUUAGGAGGCUGAGGCAGGGGAAUCUCUUGAACCCAGGAGGCAGAGGUUGCAGUGAGCCAAGACUGCACCACUGCACUCCAGCCUGGGUGACAGAGUGAGACUCUGUCUCAA
rnacentral:SRP_RNA from 1 species